UUAGAGUGUAGAGGUGGCAGGGUAGCCUAGUGGUUAGAGUGUAGAGGUGGCAGGGUAGCCUAGUGGUUAGAGUGUAGAGGAGGUAGGGUAGCCUCGUGGUUAGAGUGUAGAGGUGGCAGGUAGCCUAGUGGUUAGAGUGUAGAGGUGGCAGGUAGCCUAGUGGUUAGAGUGUAGAGGUGGCAGGUAGCCUAGUGGUUAGAGUGUAGAGGUGGCAGGUAGCCUAGUGGUUAGAGUGUAGAGGUGGCAGGUAGCCUAGUGGUUAGAGUGUAGAGGUGGCAGGGUAGCCUAGUGGUUAGAGUGUAGAGGUGGCAGGUAGCCUAGUGGUUAGAGUGUAGAGGAGGCAGGUAGCCUAGUGGUUAGAGUGUAGAGGAGGCAGGUAGCCUAGUGGUUAGAGUGUAGAGGUGGCAGGUAGCCUAGUGGUUAGAGUGUAGAGGUGGCAGGUAGCCUAGUGGUUAGAGUGUAGAGGAGGCAGGUAGCCUAGUGGUUAGAGUGUAGAGGUGGCAGGUAGCCUAGUGGUUAGAGUGUAGAGGAGGCAGGUAGCCUAGUGGUUAGUGUGUAGAGGUGGCAGGUAGCCUAGUGGUUAGAGUGUAGAGGAGGCAGGUAGCCUAGUGGUUAGAGUGUAGAGGAGGCAGGUAGCCUAGUGGUUAGAGUGUAGAGGUGGCAGGUAGCCUAGUGGUUAGAGUGUAGAGGUGGCAGGUAGCCUAGUGGUUAGAGUGUAGAGGUGGCAGGUAGCCUAGUGGUUAGAGUGUAGAGGUGGCAGGUAGCCUAGUGGUUAGAGUGUAGAGGAGGCAGGUAGCCUAGUGGUUAGAGUGUAGAGGCGGCAGGUAGCCUAGUGGUUAGAGUGUAGAGGCGGCAGGUAGCCUAGUGGUUAGAGUGUAGAGGUGGCAGGUAGCCUAGUGGUUAGAGUGUAGAGGUGGCAGGUAGCCUAGUGGUUAGAGUGUAGAGGAGGCAGGUAGCCUAGUGGUUAGAGUGUAGAGGUGGCAGGUAGCCUAGUGGUUAGAGUGUAGAGGUGGCAGGUAGCCUAGUGGUUAGAGUGUAGAGGUGGCAGGUAGCCUAGUGGUUAGAGUGUAGAGGUGGCAGGUAGCCUAGUGGUUAGUGUGUAGAGGCGGCAGGUAGCCUAGUGGUUAGAGUGUAGAGGUGGCAGGUAGCCUAGUGGUUAGAGUGUAGAGGUGGCAGGUAGCCUAGUGGUUAGAGUGUAGAGGUGGCAGGUAGCCUAGUGGUUAGAGUGUAGAGGUGGCAGGUAGCCUAGUGGUUAGAGUGUAGAGGUGGCAGUGUAGCCUAGUGGUUAGUGUGUAGAGGUGGCAGUUAGCCUAGUGGUUAGAGGCAGGUAGCCUAGUGGUUAGAGGCAGGUAGCCUAGUGGUUAGAGUGUAGAGGUGGCAGGUAGCCUAGUGGUUAGAGGCAGGUAGCCUAGUGGUUAGAGGCAGGUAGCCUAGUGGUUAGAGGCAGGUAGCUUAGCGGUUAGAGGCAGGUAGCCUAGUGGUUAGAGGCAGGUAGCCUAGUGGUUAGAGGCAGGUAGCCUAGUGGUUAGAGGCAGGUAGCCUAGUGGUUACAGGUAGCUUAGUGGUUAGAGGCAGGUAGCCUAGUGGUUAGAGGCAUUUUACAAUCCUGUCCUUUUUGGGGCUCGGAGAAACCAGGUGCACAGUGGUAGAUAACAGAGAGCGAGAGAGAGAGCGAGCUUGGGAACUGAUACGUCCGACAGACAUACUGUAAUGAGAUUCCAUUAUCGCCCCAAGCGGGUCCUGUGAUAGCAGCACAGCAGAACACAAAGUGAUCUCCAGGGGAGGAGGGGGGAAGCUGAUAAAGAACAGGAGCUUCCAGUGACGCAGGUGUGUGUGUGUGUGUGUGUGUGUGUGUGUGUGUGUGUGUGUCAGUACGAUAGGAAAGCAGGGCAGUGACUCGAAGGAGACAUUUGGCCAAAUACCCCAUUAAAUAUCCUGCUCUCACACUCCGAUUACUAUCAUACCAACACACACGCAAAUGCACACACAGUGUGAACGCAAUUAUUAAGGCCUCUUUACUGGGAUACAGAGUACCUGAUGCCUGAUAGGUCUGGUAAG